rnacentral:rRNA from 1 species
UACAGAGGGUGCGAGCGUUGUCCGGAAUCACUGGGCGUAAAGGGCGCGUAGGUGGCGACCCAAGUCUGUGGUGAAAGCUCGCCGCUUAACGGCGAGUCGGCCACGGAUACUGGGUGGCUCGAGCGACUGUAGGGGCAGAUGGAAUUCCGGGUGUAGCGGUGGAAUGCGUAGAGAUCCGGAAGAACACCGGUGGCGAAGGCGGUCUGCUGGGCAGUAGCUGACACUGAGGCGCGACAGCGUGGGGAGCAAACAGG